rnacentral:rRNA from 1 species
AUUGAACGCUGGCGGCAGGCCUAACACAUGCAAGUCGAACGGUAACAGGAAGAAGCUUGCUUCUUUGCUGACGAGUGGCGGACGGGUGAGUAAUGUCUGGGAAACUGCCUGAUGGAGGGGGAUAACUACUGGAAACGGUAGCUAAUACCGCAUAACGUCGCAAGACCAAAGAGGGGGACCUUCGGGCCUCUUGCCAUCGGAUGUGCCCAGAUGGGAUUAGCUAGUAGGUGGGGUAACGGCUCACCUAGGCGACGAUCCCUAGCUGGUCUGAGAGGAUGACCAGCCACACUAGAACUGAGACACGGUCCAGACUCCUACGGGAGGCAGCAGUGGGGAAUAUUGCACAAUGGGCGAAAGCCUGAUGCAGCCAUGCCGCGUGUAUGAAGAAGGCCUUCGGGUUGUAAAGUACUUUCAGCGGGGAGGAAGGGAGUAAAGUUAAUACCUUUACUCAUUGACGUUACCCGAAGAAGAAGCACCGGCUAACUCCGUG